UGUGACCUCAAAUCAGGUAGGACUACCCGCUGAACUUAAGCAUAUCAAUAAGCGGAGGAAAAGAAACUAACAAGGAUUCCCCUAGUAACUGCGAGUGAAGCGGGAAAAGCUCAAAUUUAAAAUCUGGCAGUCUUUGGCUGUCCGAGUUGUAAUCUAGAGAAGUGUUAUCCGCGCUGGACCGUGUACAAGUCUCCUGGAAUGGAGCGUCAUAGAGGGUGAGAAUCCCGUCUUUGACACGGACUACCAGGGCUUUGUGAUGCGCUCUCAAAGAGUCGAGUUGUUUGGGAAUGCAGCUCAAAAUGGGUGGUAAAUUCCAUCUAAAGCUAAAUAUUGGCGAGAGACCGAUAGCGAACAAGUACCGUGAGGGAAAGAUGAAAAGAACUUUGGAAAGAGAGUUAAACAGUACGUGAAAUUGCUGAAAGGGAAACGCUUGAAGUCAGUCGCGUCGUCCAGGGAUCAACCUUGCUUUUGCUUGGUGCACUUUCUGGUUGACGGGUCAGCAUCAAUUUUGACCAUUGGAAAAAGAUCAAGGGAAUGUGACAUCUUUGGAUGUGUUAUAGCCCUUGGUUGCAUACGAUGGUUGGGAUUGAGGAACUCAGCACGCCGCAAGGCCGGG
rnacentral:rRNA from 2 species